UUUGAAUUAGCUCAUUCGGUAGAGCAUAAGACUGUAAAUCUUAGUGUAGCGGGUUCGAUUCCCGCAUUCAAAACCA
rnacentral:tRNA from 2 species